UUGCACGCUGGCGGCAGGCCUAACACAUGCAAGUCGAGCGGAUGAAGGGAGCUUGCUCCUGGAUUCAGCGGCGGACGGGUGAGUAAUGCCUAGGAAUCUGCCUGGUAGUGGGGGAUAACGUCCGGAAACGGGCGCUAAUACCGCAUACGUCCUGAGGGAGAAAGUGGGGGAUCUUCGGACCUCACGCUAUCAGAUGAGCCUAGGUCGGAUUAGCUAGUUGGUGGGGUAAAGGCCUACCAAGGCGACGAUCCGUAACUGGUCUGAGAGGAUGAUCAGUCACAGUGGAACUGAGCACGGUCCAAGCCCCUGCGGGGAGGAGGCGGUGGGAAUUUUUGGACAAGGGGCGAAGGCUUGACCCACCCCUGCGGGUUGGGUAAAGAAGGUCUUGUGAUUUUAAAGCUUUUUAAGUGGGGAGAAAGGGAAAAAAUUUAAUACCUUGUUUUUUUGACGUUCCCAAAAGAAAAAGCACGGGCUAACUUGGUG
rnacentral:rRNA from 1 species